rnacentral:rRNA from 1 species
UGCGUAGGCGGGGCAAUUGGUCAGUGGUGAAAUCCUGCGGCUUAACCGUAGAAUUGCCAUUGAUACUGUUGCCCUUGAGUAUAGUUGAAGUGGGCGGAAUAUGUAAUGUAGCGGUGAAAUGCAUAGAGAUUACAUAGAACACCAAUUGCGAAGGCAGCUCACUAAGCUAUUACUGACGCUGAGGCACGAAAGCGUGGGGAGCGAACAGGAUUAGAUACCCUGGUAGUCC